GUCAGCGUGACACCGUUGGAUCCUUGACAACAUGACGCUGAUGACAGUCGCUACAGCACGUGCAGAUGACAGCUAUCACACAACUGCACAUAUUCCUGCAAACAAAUAGAUAAAAUGAGGGAAUAAACUGUCACGCAACUCACCUAAUAAGGGAUGAGUUUGGAGCGUCCAGUCAUCAGAAGCAGAGCUGUGGGUCGUGUGGACAGACAUUGACUGUAAUGAUGGACUUCUGCUGAUGGACAGAAGCAUAACCGCUGCUGGACAUGGUGCCGGGGCUCAGGGGGGGACCCGAAUCAUCCCCACCCCUUCAUUCACACAUAUCGCGGAGAUCCGGCUGGGAUUGAACCAGCAACCUCUGAACCCAUGAGGCAGCGCUCUUACCUGUGAGCCACAGAUCUCUUGUCUGAACAUGUGCAGGAACUUAUAUUUGACUCUUCACCUGUGUGAUUUUUACAAUAAAGCAGUUAAAGCUU